GCGGAUGUGGUGGAAUGGCAGACACGCUGGUCUUAGGAACCAGUCCGAGAGGGUGUGGGUUCGACUCCCACCAUCCGCACUA
rnacentral:tRNA from 1 species